GCUGUAACAGUCUUGAAGUCAGCAUGGACAUGAAUUUGUCAGCGCGUUGUGCUUUGGUUCUUUUUCUGUUGGCAUUUGUACAUUUGAAAAUAGUCUCUGCUACAGACAAGCCUGGAGUGUGCCCUCGUAGACGAUGGGGCAUGGGGAUAUGUGUAGAGUUAUGUUCCAAUGACAGUGACUGCCCCAAUGAUGAAAAAUGCUGCUACAAUGGAUGUGGGCAUGUCUGCAUUGCACCUUACACAGACAAGCCUGGAGUGUGCCCUCGUAGACGAUGGGGCAUGGGGAUAUGUGUAGAGUUAUGUUCCAAUGACAGUGACUGCCCCAAUGAUGAAAAAUGCUGCUACAAUGGAUGUGGGCAUGUCUGCAUUGCACCUUACACAGACAAGCCUGGAAUGUGCCCUCGUAGACGAUGGGGCAUAGGGAUAUGUGCAGAGUUAUGUUCCAAGGACAGUGACUGCCCCAAUGAUGAAAAAUGCUGCCACAAUGGAUGUGGGCGUGACUGCAUUGCACCUACACAGGUAGGAUAUGGUCCCAGAGUGACAGAUACACCCAUCUAUUGCAUUCAUUAUUACUGCAUUACUCUGGAAACAAGAAAGAUGGAGCUUGUAAUGUACAUUUCAUACACAUAGAUAUAUAUUUUUCACAUACUCUCUUUAGAGCUGAGGCACUAAAUUAAUAAGAUUUCCAAGAUCCAUGCAGGCCUUUAGAGUAUAUACCAAUGUUGUGCAACAUCUAUACACUCUGAGUAUACCAAACAUUAGGAACACUUCCCUUUUUUUGAGUUGCACCCCUUUUGCCCUCAGAAAAGCCUCAAUGGAUCAGGGCAUGGACUCUGCAAGGUGUUGAAAGCAGUCCAUAGGGAUGCUGGCCCAUGUUGACUCCAAUGCUUCUCACAGUUGUGUCAUGUUGGCUGGAUGUCUUUUGGUUGGUGGACUGUUGGUGGCAGGGUAGCCUAGUACAUUUUUACAUUUUAGUCAUUUAGCAGACGCUCUUAUCCAGAGCGACUUACAGUAGUGAAUGCAUACAUUUCACUUCAUACAUUUUUUUUUUAUUUUUUUUUUUUUUUUGUGCUGGCCCCCUGUGGGAAUCGAACCCACAACCCUGGCGUUGCAAACACCAUGCUCUACCAACUGAGCUACAGGG
rnacentral:lncRNA from 1 species